rnacentral:lncRNA from 1 species
GUCUGAGCCGAGGUCACCACACAGAGCUUUCAAGCACACUGUAACUAUUGCUGACUUUGCCGCCCAGCGCUGAGUCGUGGCUCCUCUGGGACUAGAUAAACUAGUCGAAUUUGUUGAAUGUGUCCUGGAUCAACCUGAUCGCACCACAAACCCGGAGAGAAGCAACCGUGGAGAUCUUUCCGUGGAGGGGCAGCUUCCGGUUCAUCCCAACCCACAAGAAACAGAAGUACCAGGAGUGCCCCAGUUCCACGGACCAUGAAUAGCUUCGGUUCCUCGCAAACUCUGGGUCCUACCACCCGCUCUGAGGACUUCUUAUUUUUUUAUUUCAUCAUCAUAAUGGAGACACUUUUUUCUCCCCCUGAGUUCUUCUGUUUUAACUUCCUGCUUGGGGGGUGGGGGGGGGGGAACGUUCUCAAUUUUUGCCAUUUCUCACUCCUACAGAAACAAUGCUAAGCCGCACACAGGGUCCUCAUUGAGCCAUCUGUCUACUGUGGCCUUGCCAUCCUGAGAGUGUCUGUCUUGUGUUCUUGGCCUAGUCUGGAAAGCAUCACGCGUCCCAAUAUGCAGAGGGGGUUCGAGCAAGCCAGCAGCUAAUUGCCCAGGUCUCUGAGAACUGACAUUAUGCAGGGCCCUCACCCUCCAGCUUCCUUCCCGGAUGAUUUUCUUUAUCUGCUCAAGGAAGAAAGGAUGGAUUCCAACUUCAAUAAUGAAAACCCUGCUCUUCUUUGCCAGCAUCCCAUCCCCCUCCCC